GUUUUUUUUAAAUAAAACCUACACCUGCAGUUCUGUUUAACUUCUCACUUUGUGAAAGAUUAAUGAAAUAUAAAAAAGGCCACCUUCAAAUGAAUAAAAUGCUGCAGUUCACCAUUAAUAUGAUAUGUAGAUAUUUAAAACAACAGCAUAUUAAAUGAUACUAAAUGACACUGUGUGCAAGUGAUAAUAUUUUUAGGAAGCAGAAUUUGAAUGCAGACCAGCUCAAAUGUUGAAGCCUACAAAUAUAUCACCCAAGCUUUCAUUUAUGAUUGUUCAUGCUUUGAAAUUGUGAUGUCAGAAUUUGAUAAAGUGUGCAGUGCAAGGUGUAGCAAAUCAUUGCUUAUUAAAUCUACUGUGUUAUCUAAUAGCACCAAACUAAUAGAGCUAUCACAUAACUGAGAAACAUGUGUGGCUUAUUACAAAUGGAUGAAACCACAUAUUACCUUAAUGAAGACAGUAAUCUUUAAUAAGGUGUAGAAAAAAGAGGUGAGUUGUUUGUUGCUGUGGUAAACAAAGAAGUGUACUGAAUCUUUUGGACUACACAGAUUGAUGUAGUAUUGACUCUGAUGCUGAUCUGAGUUGUCUCAUUCUGUAUUUUUGUGCUUUGUCUUUUGUUACACAGAGUGAAAGAGAUCUUUGGUUUUGCCUUUGCUGACUGCUGAUCUGAUCGUCUCAAGUCUGGUAAGUAAAGGUUUGUCUGAGGUGCAGUGCUGGGAAAUGUUUCUUAUUAUAGGAGAUUCAGUUUAGUGCAGUGAGUCAGCACAGCUCUUGGCAAUCAUCAAAUAAUAGAAAAGUCUAUGUAAACAUUUCCAGACUUACAGAUCUCUGUUAUCAUCAUACUACAUUUUUAAUUAGGCCCUAAUAUCGGCCAUACUAAGUUUAUUGUAGAUUUAGCGGGGUGUGUAUUAAACAUGCCCCAUAUUUGACUGAAAUAUGUAGAAACUGCUGUAUAGGAGUCAUCUGUCUCCAAAUUUUUCAUUUUGCCAAAAGUCAUACUGAGUAAAUUAUUUUUUACUUUUGUGUUAACGGCUCCCCAGACAUUAUGAUAUACUGUUGUACCAGGUAAGUACACACAGAAACGGGAAUUUGAGACCUUUGGGCAUUUAGAAACAUGUGAUGUGUCAUAAGUUUGAGUUGAGUGCAUGUGAAGUGUUUAAAGCAGGUGGUCUGAAACUGUCUGCUCUAACUUCAUUGUGUGGGUUUAGCUUGACCAUAUAAUGUUUACAGUAAGUUACUGUAGCACCACAUCUUGGUUUACAGACUCUGUUUGUUUUUAUUGUGUUAAUAGAAUGCAAAAAUGUCCUCAGAAAUGUUCAACCACCAUAUGUUAAACAUUUUCAUUCAGUUGAAUCUAAUAAUGUACUGUACAACUCUUCAGUGUGUAAUGAUAUAUAUGUUCUGUAUUUUUCGGACUGUAAGGCGCACUAAAUUCUAAGGCACAUUAAGUCAAACAAAACAGAUAAGCCAAACUUUAUUCAACUCAUUUACAAUAACUCUCAAAAUUGUUCAGUUGUAAGACAUAAAAUACAGAAUACACUCACUUUUCAGGAUUUGUGGAUUGAUGAAUGUGGAUUGAUCAGUUUGAAAUCUGCUUCAUAAGCAUGGCUCUCAACAGGUGCCAGGCCCUUAUACACACACCAUAUUACGUUGGAGCACAGUACGAAUUACUCUACGAGGGUGGUGACUAUGGUAGCCAUGCUCCGACAAUACAUCAAGUGGUGCUGCUUUGUAGCUUACCAAAGUCAUACUAAAACAUUUGACAGAUUUUUGAGUGCCGUGUACCACAUAGAAUUGGUUUGAAGUCAGUAAGCCUCAACCAUAUAUAAGGUGCACUGUCUAUUUUUGAGAAAAUUAAAGGCUUUUAAAUGUGCCUUAUAGUCUGAAAAAUAAGGUAAAGCCAGGUUUAUUGCAAGUGUGUCUAAUUCCACUUUCUUUCUGUCUUACAGGUGACCUGCUGCAGAAAACCCUCUCCCUCUAUCAUUAACAAGCAAUUCAGUCUGUCCUAUCACUCUCC
ensembl:lncRNA